rnacentral:rRNA from 1 species
GAUGAACGCUAGCGGCAGGCCUAACACAUGCAAGUCGAGGGGUAACUAGAGUGAUAGCAAUAUUACUUUGGCUAGACCGGCGCACGGGUGCGUAACACGUAUGCAACCUACCUUAUACUGGGGAAUAACUUCGAGAAAUCGGCGCUAAUACCCCAUAACAUUGCGAAGAGGCAUCUCUUUGCAAUUAAAGCUCCGGCGGUAUAAGAUGGGCAUGCGUCCAAUUAGCUAGUUGGUGAGGUAACGGCUCACCAAGGCUACGAUUGGUAGGGGUUCUGAGAGGAUGAACCCCCAAACUGGUACUGGGACACGGACCAGAGUCCGACGGGGGGCAGCAGUGAGGAAUAUUGCGCAAUGGACGAAAGUCUGCCGCAGCCAUGCCGCGUGCAGGAUGACGGCCCUAUGGGUUGUAAACUGCUUUUGUACGGGAAUAAACCCUUCUACGUGUAGGAGGCUGAAGGUACCGUAAGAAUAAGCACCGGCUAACUCCGUGCCAGCAGCCGCCGUAACAC